rnacentral:rRNA from 1 species
GUCCACAGCCAUAUCACCCUGCAGCCCAAGACUGGUUGCCCACUGAAGCUAAGCAGGGUUGAGCCUGGUCAGUACCUGGAUGGGAGACCUCCUGGCUCAGAGAACC